rnacentral:lncRNA from 1 species
CUCCGGAGAACCCUAAUGCAGCAACCAAGAGCCUGGCCCUUUCUCGCUUUCUUGCAACAACUCCGGUCCCUCCGAGUCCCAGCCCUGCGAAGAAGCUGGCGGCCCAGCCUGAGAUCCCUCCCGGUUAGGACAGGGCUGUGGGCUGCGUGCAAGCCCUGGCUUCAGGCCUAGCACUGGGGAAAAGAGGCUAUCAGAGGUCCCCCCACUCCCUCCAUGGCGAGCAGAUGCGCAGAGGGGUGGCACUUAGCGGCAGAUGGCCCAAAGCUUGUGGACUCUGUUCACAUAGGGCCAGGGGAAGCAGGGCCUUGUCCUUGGCCUCUGGGCGCUCAGGACAGCGCUGUCUCUCUAGGACCACCGAGCUUUCUGUGUCACCAUCUGGAUCAUGGCUUUGCCCGCUCCACGCAGGUCCUUGGAAGCCCCAGGGAUGUCCUUGCUGCUCUGGAGAAACUUGGGCCAAGGGCUAAGACCCACUUCCGGCUGUGGCAAGAUCGAGAGAGAGAGGCCCGAUCGGUUCCGAGCAUCUCAGUGAAACUGGACAGAGAGAUGAAGGAAGAGGGAAAUCGGUUUCCCAUCAGGGAGGGACUCCAGCCUGCUGCACGCUGUCUGCCUGUCCUCACCCUCUGUUGGGGGCGCUGGCACUGGGGAGCACUGCACAAGGCCUAGGCAUCCAGGGAAACUCAAAAGCAAAGCCUGCUCAGAGACAUGAGAGGAUGGGUCAUAGGAGAGCACAUUGCAAGUGGUGAGCUCAGACUGGUAGUACACAUCCUGUCUCCAAAAUGAAAAGUAAAAAGGGCUGGGGAUGAAGCUCGGUGGUAGAGCAUUUGCCUAGCAUGCACAAGGCCCAGAGUUUGGCGCCAGCCCUGGAAAAAAAGCGAAAAGCCAACAGUGAAAGCCAGACGUGGUGACGCACACCUAUAGUCCCAGCUACCCAGAAGCUGAGGCAGGAGGAUCCAUUGAGCCCAUAAGUUUGAGACCAGCUUGGAGAAAGCGGGAUCGAACUCAGGACCUUGCGCUUUCGAGGCAGGUGCCAGAACCACUGAGCAAGGGUGUUGCAAAGACUUCUGAGGACAUCUUGGAGAGGAGGUGGCCUUGGCAUAUGAUGACACUGGAUUUCCUGAGGCCUCGUUCCCGUGGGCCCGUUUUUGACCAAGCGGCAGCAGUGGAUAUAAGGCAGGAGACCAGGGCAUGGUGAGGCAGCUGGGCAAGUGGGCG